CAGUGCUGGGAAAUAUCUUUAAAAUAUAUUACAAAGUAAAAAACUCCAAAACUAUAAUACACUCUUCAUUUAUUUUUCAUCACCUUCCUUGUAUGUGUGAAUAGUCACACCGAAGCACAGCUACAUUUAAUCCUUGUUUCAGUCAGCUCCUGUUGACAUAAGCUGUAAUUGAAGGCAGUGAAACCUCACCCAGGAGUGGAGGCCACUGUAGCGUGAGUUGCAUCAGCUCCCUGCCUCUCAGGGCACAAAAACAAGAGCAGUGCUGCACUGCCUGGGACCUGAGCAGGGCCAGGGCUACAGACACCAAGGAGGGCAUUCUUCAGCAGACUUUUGGUUCCUCAGACAAUGCUGUGUUCCAGCAGGAAGUCAGAGUUAUCUCCCAUGGAUCAACAUAAAAUAACAAUAAUGGCAAAGUCUGGAAGAAGUUCGUACCAUUGCUGUCGCAGGUCUGUGGCUGCAUGGAAGAUUUUGGCCUCAGCAACCACUGUCACCAGCAUCUUCUCCACCAUUACACAACACAUCUUUCCUUUUGCUCAGACCAGCCUGAGCAAGGUGCUUUGUGAAGAGCUGUGUGUGCUAUUUGUAGGCUGCUGUAACGUCACUGUGGCUAACCUCUGACUGUGUGAAGGACAGGACAUUGCAGCAACCUCAGAGAAGAUGACAGAGAAAGACAAGAAAGGGGAUACCAUAAAUAGUGAGAGGGAGGAGAAAUUAGCUGAAGAAACCUUUUGGAAGAAAAGUCUGGAUCGCUGGGAUGUGUCUGCCCUCUGGAAGCAGUUCCAGAGUUUCUAAGCCCCAAGCCAGUUGGCUCCCUUGCUUGUAGGGGCUGGAUGCCUGGCAGUCCCUUGGAAUCCCACUCCACCAUUCAUCAAAGGUGCUGAUCCCAUCCCAGUGCUGAUACCAGCCUGUUCUGAUGAAGCCAUGUCUUGUUGGAAAGUUCACAACCACCUUUGACUGGUAAAAAUGGUUAAUUGAUACUCCCAGAAACACUGAUACACAGGCACAUCAUUAUCAUUAGUUCCCUUGCUGUACAAUUACCAGACAUAAUUCAGUAUUUCUCCCAUGAGCAAAGCAUUUACCAGUUAUGCUCCACCUGCCCCUUUGGCAGUGUCCACAACACGGAAUAGCUGAGCAGGCCUGCCAGCCCUUUCCAGCCUUCAUCCUCAUGCCCUGGCACACAGUUGCAAGGCAGAAGUGAUCUAAUGCCCAUUACCCAAUUGUCUUCACACAGUUCAUCCUUAUAUCAGCCUAUCCUUUCCCCAUAUCCACAUCUCUGCCCAUGGCUGCCUUGGCCCACUGCCUUCUGUCCCUUCAGUUAGGUGGCACUACUGAAUUUUCCACUGAUGCAUAUGCUUACUUUUCUUCUCAUUAUCUCCUCCUUCAGUUUACUGAGCUCUCUUCUGCCUUCAAUCUUUUUCCAUAUUGCCUAUCACUGGGGAGCCAGAGCUUCCUCUUCCCCUUCCUACUCCAGAAGCAGUCAGACACAGCCUUCUCACAUCCUCUCCCUUCCUCUCCUGCUUUUCAAUAAUUCAGUCUCUUCUGCCUUCUUCUCAGGUCUCUUUCUAUUAAACACCGUCUCAAUGUUUUACCUCCUCUUUCACCAUUUGUCCUGGAGCCAUGACAAAGUCAGUUUUCUCUUUGUCUUGCCUCAUUCAUCUCCUUUCCACUCAAUAACCCUAGCUCUUCUUCCACUGGGAUUUGUUCCACCCAAUUUGUCUUAUUUCUUAAGGCUUAUUUCAUUCAGCUAUGUGUGUGUUUAUGUGAACAUCUAAAUCUAAUGACCCAUUCUUUAACCCAUUGGUAAGCUGAAACCUCAGCAAUAACAGAGUGAGGAUCUUAAAAAUACCAACUUCCUGCAGUUUUCAUGAAGAUUGAUGACUGGUUGAAGAAAAAAGAUUUGCACUUGCCUUUCCUGCUGGAAAGGUUGGUUGCAGCAUGUGCUCCUUCUUCCAGUGCAUAUGCAAUUAUUAGUUACUAUUAAUAGUCAACACCAGGAAAAACUUUGCUCAGAGUUUGCAUUUUCCUCAAUAAAAGAAAAUGAAGUUGUAAGAAACAAAUUUUUAAGAAAUCAGACAACAGGAAUUCUGUUGCUCAUGGAACUGGUCUUUUUCACUCUUUCACUCAGUGUUUCCUUAUUUAACUUUGAAGUUUUAUUUUUUUAUUUCUUAGCUACUUUUAUCUAGGUUUUAUCAAAAUGUCUCAUACAAAUUUUUAGUCUCUCAGGUUUCUGGUUUGACCUCUGUUUGUGAACCUGUUCUUUCUGCAUCUUGACUUCUUCUUCAAGUUAUCUCCCUUCAUGUGUCCAAAUUCACCUUUAUGCAUUGUCUUCUCCCUUAAUGCUGCAAUUUCUCUUAUCUUCUGUCUGAGGACUCUUCUCAUGAAUGUCAGUUCCCUAGUUUUGUAGCUGCUGGUGACUGCCACCAUCCCAUAGCACCUUCUUUAUAGUCUGUGCCUCUGUAAGGAGAAAAUUGCCUUUUAAAUGCAGAACUAAAAAAAAAAGGAAAAAAAAGCAUUGAUUUUUCUGGAAGAGAAGGGGAGAAUAUAGAACCUUUCUGUAACCUCGUAAAUUAAUUCAUAGCCACAGUGAAAGCUGAUCUGCCCUUUUAUCAGACUUGAUAAAUUUUCAUUUAAAUGUUCACAGUUCUGUCACAUGCAGAAGAAAUCUUUCUCUUAUUACAAGUUGAGAUGCAGAUUUAUUUCUGAGACAAGUCAAGUUAUUCUGCACACUAGUUCAUGCAAUGAGAAGGCUGUAAGGCUUUCAAGUCAUACAAGUCUUAUUUUGCUUAUUUUAUUCUCAGUGACCUCUCAAUAGUAACUAAUAUUAAAAAAAGUGAGAAAUGAAGUUGGGAAUUUCUGAAUAGAAGAAUAUCAAUACUUGGCAUGGAAAUGUAUUAAAAAACAAGAAGAAGAAGAGACAUGAAAAAAGUGAGCAGGAUAAAUUGUUCCUUCCUCCUGAAAUAUCAUCGGAAUUGUUUCAGAAAUACCAACAAUGAGUUAAAUUCAGCAUUUCAGAGCCAGGAUCCUAAAUCACAUACUUGCUGAGAGAAUUUCUUACAACCUGAAAUAAAAAUAAAACUGAUGCAAGAAAUAAAGGAUAGAAGUCUUUUAUAAUUGAGUGAUAGAUAAUGAGAAGCAGCAGAGAAUAGAUGCUCUCUUGUGGGCCUGGUUAUGAGGGAUGCUCCUCAUUUUCAGCCCAGGAGCACAUAGAGCAAUCUCUCCAGCAGAGUUUUCAAUCACUGUAUUUCAUAAAUCCUAGAGACCACACACAACUGCCUGCAUAGGAGUGAAAUUAAGAUCCUGUACUAAGUGAGAAUUUGAUUUUGCCCUGAGCAAUUUCUGCAGAAAAUUUUCUUAGUGCUUCAGCCUGUGAAGUAUUACAGGCACAGUGUUACGACAGACAGCUUCAUUUCCACAACAGUAAGAGCUCCUGAGUGACAGUAGGUUCAGCUCCCAGUUUCAUACCUAAAUUGAGCAAAAGGAAGUCAAGUAAAUAGGUGCAAGGAAAUUGCAGCUUGCUUGUGUACCAUCAUAUCAGACCAUAGCUCUUACACUAACAUGAGAUAAAUGGGCAUAGUGGACAGGCAAUAACCCCAGUUCUGACCAAAAGCUGGAGAGUUUUGAAAUAUUUUUUUUUAACUGGAAUUUAGUCUUUAUGUCAGGCUAGAAAAAGAAAGCUUCUCAAAAUAUUAUUUAAUAUAUGUGUCAAAACCUAUUGUGUGGAAAGCAGUUUAUGCUUUAAAUUUGUAAUAGCUGGCUGCCUUGUAAUGCACUACCAUUCAUGUAAUUGCCAUCAAAUUUUAGUGUUUUGGUUGAAUAGUUAUUUGCUGUUAAGUCACAAUCUGCUUCUUAUGCACUGCUUGUAGGGAACCAUGAAAUUAUCUGUCUAUGAUAAAAUAGCUCAUGGAAGUGGGUAGCAGUUGAGGCUAAUAGUAAUGGUUAUAUAAUUGCAGUGAAAUGUGGAGAAAUUCUUCAGGUCAGUAUUUUUCUAGAGUCGGAGCAGACAAGUAGUUAAAAAGUGCCUACUUCAGUUACCAGAAACAUUGACUGUAUGAAACAUGCAGGAGAAAGGGGAAGCAAUUAUGGGUACAUAUACACAUAGUUAAACAAAAAUAAAAGGAGUACUGCAUGUUUUGUCUAUGAGAACCUUCUUCAUAUGAACAUUUCAAGUGGAAUCCAGCAGACGCUGCAGACACACUGAAUCAGCUGCUGGAAGAAAAGGGUAAAUUGAUUCAUAUUGUCUCAAUAGCAUUGAUUUUGUACCUCAGAUAUUAUGAUGUACAUUCUUUUCUCCAGACCAUUUUAGUGAAAACAGUUAAGAAACAUAGUUGCCUUAUUUAUAUUCUUAAAUCUCCUCAAAAUCUCCCUUGCCCCUGGAUUAAAUGGCAAACCUUUCCUCACUUGAUUUAUUUUACAUUUCUUCAGUUUUCUGUUUGUUGUUGAUUUCAAUUUUCUGGCAUUUCCUUUUAAAUUUGUGGGAUUUUAUUCAAUAACAUUUAUCCAGGAAACUGAGUGAAAUGCAGCCACUUAGGUGGAAUAUUUUCCCCAGUUCUUCUGUAGCAGAAAAUAAAAGUAGUGUAAACCUCUGCCAUUAUCUCAUUUAAAUCUGUUUCUGCUUUCAGCUUAUAGCCUCACUAAAUUAGCAUUAGAGAAACAGACCUUUAUGUUAAAUUCAUUGCAGGGCUGUGCCAGCAGGACUAGUUGCA